ACGCUCGACACCUACGGGAGCAGCAGUUGGGAAUAUUGGACAAUGGAGGAAACUCUGAUCCAGUGACGCCGCGUGAAGGAAGAAGGUCUUCGGAUUGUAAACUUAUUUUGUCAGGGAAGAAAAAUGACUGUACCUGAAGAAAAAGCACCGGCUAACUACGUGCCGGCAGCCGCGGUAAUCUGAGCGGGCUGGCAAGGC
rnacentral:rRNA from 1 species